rnacentral:rRNA from 1 species
GACUAUUUUUUAUCUAUAAGUCUUGGCCAAAUUACGUGCCAGCAGUCGCGGUAAUACGUAAAAGACGAGUGUUAUUCAUCUUUAAUCGGUUUAAAGGGUACCUAGACGGAAAAUCAAGCUUAAUUAAACUAAGGACUAGUUUUCUAGAGUUUGACAUGAGAAGGUACGAACUAUCAGAGGAGAGAUAAAAUUUGUUGAUACUGGUGGGACGGACAACGGCGAAGGCAAUCUUCUACUAAAAACUGACGUUGAGGGACGAAGCCUUGGGGAGCGAGAAGGAUUAGAUACCCUAGUAGUCCUUGGAGAAAAUUAUGAGUGCCAUAGACUAAAGUGAAAAAGAAGUUCUUUUAAAAGAACUUUGUAUCUGAGCCUUAAUUGGAUACAAAGGUCUCGAGUAGCAGUUUAUAAAUGAAAGUGUAAGCAUUCCACCUCAUGACUAAAGCGGCAACGCCCAAAUUGAAAUCAUUAGACCGUUUCUGAAACCAGUAGUGAAGUAUGUUAUUUAAUUCGAUAACCCGCGAAUAACCUUACCACGUUUUGAAUUUAUUAAACAAGUGUUGCACGGCUGUCUUCAGUUAAUGUCGUGAGAUUUUGGUUUGUUCCAUUAAUUAACGAAAACCCUUGUUUCAUUUUUAUAUGAAAUAGUUCACCGUUAUAUUGGAAAGAUAAAAGGGAUCAAGACAAGUCAUCAUG